ensembl:snoRNA
UUUGGUAGCAAUGAUGACUGAUCUUUUUUCCCCAGCAGAUCGACACUGUUGACUUUGUAUAACCAAAAAUAAGCCAUAUGAUCUGAGCAACCAUA